GCAGGGCGUGAUGGCUCAUGCCUGUAAUCUCAGUUACUAGAGAGGCUGAGGUGGGAGGAUUGCCAGAGCCCAGGAGUUUUGAAGGUGCAGUGAGCUAUGACCAUGCCACUGCACUUCCAGCCUUGGUGACAGAGCAAGACCCUGUCUCAC
rfam:Gorilla gorilla gorilla genomic chromosome, chr16, whole genome shotgun sequence